rnacentral:miRNA from 1 species
CGGCAGUGCACCGCUAGCUGGCUGU